UCGAAAGUUAAUGAUUUGUAGUUAACAUUUGUGUUGUUAUUUUUUCUAUAUAUGUAUUUUUGAAUUUUUGAUAAAUUUUCAAAAAUUGACUAUUUCACCACUUUUUGAGACAUGCGGAACGAAAAUAGUAACCCUAAGGGUGGUGAGUAAAUUCCAAAACUGAUAACCCUAUACUCAGCAGUUAUUUACGUUUUGAAUCGUCAAAAAAUUAAAAGGAAAAUCUCAACCAUAACAAACGGCUUCGGUGGUGCAAUUUUCUCUAAUCACAGCCGACGGGAUUAUUUAAUCAUAUCACGCCGGAUGUUAAGUUGAUCCCAUACUACGUAUUGAUGGACCCGAUUUGUAGAGUCCCAGGUUUGGUGGCCGGCUCAAACUUACUGGACACGAGGCAAAUCGGAAGCUGAACGAUCUGUUCAAACCGUUCAAACCGGUCAGUGGUAUGUGCUUGCAAAGUUCCCGCAUCCGCCCGGAAACAUGCAUGUGAUGCAUUUGGGCUGCCGGCGUAGACUGCUGUAACGCAGCGGCAGAUUCCGGUGGAUAAACAGAUCACAGAGCUGAUGCGGGAGCAGUUGAAAAUGUUGCAGAUUAGUUUCGACUGGGAGCGUGAAUUCGCGACAUGCGAUCCAGAGUACUACCGGUGGACCCAAGAGUUGUUUCUAAUGUUGUAAGAGGAUGGAUUAGCAUCUCAGAAGGAGGCUCAGGUCAAUUGGGAUCUUGUUGAUAAGACAGGCCGAUGAGCAGGGUGAUGCCAAUGAAUGCUUGUGAAGAUCCGGUGCUGAGGUGGAGAAAAUAAUUUUGUAAUAGUGUUUUGCGAAAGCGAAUUGGAUAUAAAUACAUAAUCAAUCUACAAAAGCACUAAGUGUGAUGGAUAAAACUUCGAA